UCCCAGAUCUUAAGUGGUCUAAUGAUAUC
rnacentral:piRNA from 1 species